CAAAUGCACGUACGUACCACUUGAUUGUCCAAUGGCUUCCUAUAACUGGAGUGUCUACUGGCUUCCCAAGAUCUUCUUCCAGCGAUGGCUGAGAUUAAAAUGGAUUGUGCAAUGACGCUCUGCGGACCAAGAAACCUUGCGCUUGCUUGAAGUGUCAUCCGGUCUCAUGUCACCUGUCAUCAGGGUAUACAACACACCACCAUCACAUCAUUUCAAACUCGGACUGCUCUGAUGGAACUAUACUCUCAGACCUAGACAAUAUAAUAAUGCUCUCAGAUGUCUCAAAAAAACUAGAGCUUAUUAUAUGGAUAUGAAAAUUUAGUUUUCGACAAUGCUACAAGAUACUAAAGGAUUGGUUUCUAAGCCUUGGUUUGCAUCCUAAAUUGCCUCGUAUAGCUUAUGUGAUUAAUAUAAAAGAAUAUCGAGAGGCUUUUAACAGCAAAACAAGGAAUAAAUGAAAGGUGGAAUAGUACAUACUGAAUGGGCUACAAUGAAAUUAAGACAAAUUGUGAAUAUUGAGAAUGAAGAUGUUGGAAGUAUCUCGAUAAAAAAAAUAUCAGAGCUUAAUAAUGCUCAACUAUAAUUCUAAUAGUUGUUUGUUAGCAAAAAAAAAAUAUAAUUGUAUUUGAAAAUUGUCAUCCCAAUUUGGAAUUAUGUAAUAAAGUUUAUGUAUAUUGGUGUGUCGGUAUA